rnacentral:tRNA from 1 species
AGGGCAGUAGCUCAACUGGCAGAGCAGCGGUCUCCAAAACCGCAGGUUGUGGGUUCGAGUCCCUCCUGCCCUG